rnacentral:miRNA from 1 species
GGCGGCGGCGGAGGAGGAGG